rnacentral:rRNA from 1 species
GUAGUCCACGCCGUAAACGAUGGGCACUAGGUGCCUGGGGGAGCGACCCCCCGGGUGCCGUCGCUAACGCAUUAAGUGCCCCGCCUGGGGAGUACGGCCGCAAGGCUGAAACUCAAAGGAAUUGACGGGGGCCCGCACAAGCGGUGGAGCAUGUGGUUUAAUUCGACGCAACGCGAAGAACCUUACCUAGGCUUGACAUGCACGGGAAAGCCCGGUGAAAGCCGGGCCCCUCUUCGGAGUCCGUGCACAGGUGCUGCAUGGCUGUCGUCAGCUCGUGUCGUGAGAUGUUGGGUUAAG